CCAGGCAGGAAGCAGAAGGAAAAAGGGAAAGCAGCCUUCUUUAAAGCAAUGCCCAACAAUUCCUAUUUAUACUUCAUUGCCAGAAUGCAUUCAUGUGGCCAUGCUGCUCAGCAAGGGAGACUUGGAAAAGGUCAUUUUACAGCUGAGUACAUUGCCUCUCUUAACAAAAUCAGGUCUCAUUAGUAAGGAAGACAGGAAGAAUAGACUCGGGGUGACCAAUCAGUGUUUAGUAUUGCUGGACCCAUUUGAGAGAUGGAAAAGUCAUUCCCAAGAGGCUGAGUGACUUGCUUGUGGUUGGAGGCUGGAAUGAACCCCAGUCCCUUUGACCUUACUUAGAGUGACCCUGAGGGCCUUUUUGAAAGGCCCAGAUCAAGUCUUCAGACAGAGUUGCCCUGAUCAUGAGCAUAAGAAACCAGCAGAGAGAAAGGCAUCACAGACUGGCAGCUGUGUGGGUGGUGGGUUGGCUACACUGGUGUGUGCCCAGGAUGAAAGCAAAGCAACUGGUCCUGCAAGACAGAAUUAGCUGUUCCUACGGGUCUGGAUCAUCCUCUUCCCAAACCAAGGGUACCAUGGAGGUGCUGCCUUCUCAGCUCGUCACCCACCCAAGGGUCCCUGGAGCCAACCUUGAGGGCUGUGGGGAGGUACCUCAGCUUAGCCCUUGCACAGUCCCAAUGGACACAGGCUCCCUGCUGCCCAAGGAUCUGCUUUCCACACAGCCAGGAGUGCCUUUCCCUACCACAGGCUCCCUGCCGCCCAAGGAUGUGCCUGAGACACAGCCGGGAGUGCUUUUCCCAAGCAGACUAUGCAACGCAAAGAGCUGCCUUCAACCCAGCUGGGAGUACCUCCCCGUCACCUGCUCCUCCACGUGCCACCUCCUCUCCACUAAGUGCCUGAGGCCUCCCUCCAGGAUGCUGCCACUGCUCCCUGCUCUUCUUGGGCACACUGCAGAACCCCCUUUGUCACUGCCUCCCCCAGAGCCCAACUUCUAAGGCACCAAACACCCAAGAUUAACAGGCUUUUAUUGCUGAACUGGACAUACACGUUGAGCCUUUGUUUGUGGUCAAAGGUGUUGAAUUCUUGCUGAUCAGCCAAAGAGUUUGUCACCAGGGAGCUUGUCCUCUGAAUGAGCUGGAUUUAUACUGCACCUGCCAGAAUACAGCUCCCUGGUGCCAUGGGGGUGCCAGGCAUGGAUGCAUUCCACUCCUAACAGCACCAACUUCAUCUGUCACCAAGGGGUGGGACCAUGAGGUCUUAGGCCAAAUUCCUCUCUAAAAAAAGCCCCAAAGUCUUUGAAACUUGAAUUCAAUGAUGUAUCUCCCUCCCUAGCUUUUUUGCAAUGAAAAAUACUUGUGUAUCUUAUUUUCUAUACUCUUCACAUCCUUGUCCCUGCUUUCCACUUUUUUGGCUAUUCAAAUUCUGAAUGUGUCCCAGAAGGCAAUGAGGGUCUUUCUGGAAAUGUGAAUUCUCUUUCUAGAUACCUCACACUGUCCCCAAAACCAGGCAAAUUUCAGCAGAUUUUCCUCAUUUCAUUAGAGAAGAUAAACUUCCCCUCUUAGUCAUUUGUCCCCAAAGAAGGAAGCACAGCCCCAACAAAGAUGAGUGUCAACAGACAGGAUCCUACCAUCCAGCAUGUGCAGACAGUGGCUGCAGGAUGGCCCAAGGUGCCACCCACACAGGCCCCACACAUGGGGCCCCUGAGCACAUCAGGAGGGGAUCCCCUGGGGGGCUGUGGCCGAGGUUGUCUAGUCAUACCUAAUCUAUCUUGAGAGUAAAUCAACUGCUCUCCACCUCCCCCAUCUACUAGAAUGCAAUAUCUAUGCUUUUCCGUAGAAUUUUUGAAAGGUAAGUACAAGUUAAAAAUAUACCAGGUUUAGGUUUUAAACAGUAUUGACUAAUUUGGGUGGCAAUGUCCCCGCUCCAUGUUUUUUUUUUUUUUUUUUUUUUUUUUUUCUUUUUCUUUUAAGGCUUCAAUGCAAUGGCUUGCCUCUGUGUAUAGGGCUUUGGGGCUUUCUCUAGGUCACAUGACUUUGACCUUCAAUGCCAUCAUCCCAAGGAGUUACUCUUUCUUGUCCCCCUUCCCCGUCUUGCACCCUCCUGUCCUGCUGCAGCCUGGACUCCACAUCUGGGUCCUGCCAGCUGCGAUGUUGGAAAGUGGGCCUCUCCCACCCUUCCCCAGAUUCUCCCCUCUGUGUCUGUACAUCUGUCUCCCUAGCUGGUUAUGAGAGGCUUUUCUAGGCACACAACACCCUGCAUAAGGCAUCCAGAGAAAUAAGCCAGGUCAAUGUCGAGGAAAUGGAAGAGGAUGCUAGAGCCCCUGGGGGUGGACGGGACCCAGUUAUUUGGUUUUUCUCCAUUUGGAGGCUCAUUCCCUGAGCAACCGUGGGUGCUAAAGAGAACAUGCCACCCCUCCACACUUCGCUUCUCAACAUUCUUCCUGCACUGGGAUGCCUGGCUUCAUCAAUUUUUUUUGUCUUGCUUUGUUUUUUAGACAGUUUUUGUUUCACAAAAUAUACACACUUCUGGUACUGUAAAUACAGAGACUUUCACAAAGAAUUGAGUGUUCCCACCUCAUUGCUGGACAGGUGAAGUUAUUUAUGACAAGGGUGCCUGGUGCCUGGCGAGCAGGUGCAUGGCCUGUGUGCGGCGGCCCCACGGGCAGGGUACCGAGAGGUGGGUCACAUGUCCGUGCAGGUGUAGGAAUGGAUGGACAGCCAGACAGUGCACCCUCUGGCUCUAGACUGCCUGGCCCAGCUGCCUAAUGCCUACGGCCAUAUACAAAUGUGCCCAGAGCAGCCAAGGCAACUUUACAAGGUGCCUGGAACUGUGUGUCUCUCAAGACUCAGGGAGAAAAUGUUCACUGUACUCAUGACACCAGGAAAAGCCUGGGGAAGCUCUCAUUAGGCAGAAAGGGAGGUGAGGCAUGGUGGCUCGUGGGAAGCCUGUGGGAGACCAAAGCAGGAAGAUUGCUUGAGUCCAGGAGUUCAAGACCAACUUGGACAACAUAGUAAAACCCCUUCUCUAUCCAAAAUAUGAAAAUUAGCCAGGCAUGAUGGGCUGCCUGUGGUCCCAGCUACUCAAGAGGCUGAGGUGGGAGGAUUGAUUGAGCCCAGGAGGUGGAGGUUGCAGCUAGCUGAGAUUUCACCACUGCAUUCCAGCCUGAGCAACAGAGCGAGACCCUAUCUCAAAAUAAAUAAAUAAAUAAAUAAAUAAAAAGAUAGAUA
ensembl:lncRNA